rnacentral:rRNA from 1 species
UACGGAGGGUGCAAGCGUUAUCCGGAUUCACUGGGUUUAAAGGGUGCGUAGGCGGGCAGGUAAGUCAGUGGUGAAAUCCUUGAGCUUAACUCGAGAACUGCCAUUGAUACUAUCUGUCUUGAAUAUUGUGGAGGUAAGCGGAAUAUGUCAUGUAGCGGUGAAAUGCUUAGACAUGACAUAGAACACCUAUUGCGAAGGCAGCUUACUACGCAUAUAUUGACGCUGAGGCACGAAAGCGUGGGGAUCAAACAGG